CACGCUGUCACUCCAUGGCCCAAAGAGAGUCACCGAGAAGAGACCCACAAAGAAGCCUGCCAGGUUGAUGUAGAGGUUCCAAUGAGAGGCCAGGGUCUCCACUUCCUGAGACAGAAGGACAGACACAGCAGGCAGACACCCAUGUACGGCACCUCGUCUCAGCCAGAAGAAUUGUGGGAGCUUCGGUGGAAAUGAGGAAUGGAAAUGGAGCUUCCAGGGAUGUGUGGCUAUGGAGGAAGAAGAAGAAUUUAACUUCCUCUCCACUGCACUUGUGCUUUCUGCAUCUUCCAUCCUGCUUAUGAAAUCAGGCUGUUUUCAUAAUGAUGCUGCAUUGCCUCCAAGAGCUUAGAACAAAACUGAGGUAUCCUGACUACCAGUGCCCUGAUUCAACCAUGAGACUGUCCUGCAGUGACAUGAUCAUUUUCUCUCCAGUGACUGGGUGAAAAAAAAAAGGCAAGAUUAAAAACCCACCUUCCCUUUUGGGCUUCUGAAAAACUAUGCGAUUAGUUCACAAGAGUGACAUUUUUAAGAAGUAACGCUAGAACUCAAAGAAACUGAAAGAACUCAAAUGUGAAAUUGCGGAACUAACAACUAAGGUUUGUAACCUGUCCUUUAAAUUGGCGUCUGUACCCAAUGACUGGAAGAUAACUGGAAGAACGCCAAU